UGCGGUGUGGCUUGGUGGUAGAGUGCUCACCCAACUUGUGUGAGGCCCUGGUUUGAUCCCUGGCACUGCAC
rnacentral:tRNA from 1 species